rnacentral:rRNA from 1 species
UGAACGCUGGCGGCGUGCCUAAUACAUGCAAGUCGAGCGAACAGAUGAGGAGCUUGCUCCUCUGACGUUAGCGGCGGACGGGUGAGUAACACGUGGAUAACCUACCUAUAAGACUGGGAUAACUUCGGGAAACCGGAGCUAAUACCGGAUAAUAUAUUGAACCGCAUGGUUCAAUAGUGAAAGACGGUUUUGCUGUCACUUAUAGAUGGAUCCGCGCCGCAUUAGCUAGUUGGUAAGGUAACGGCUUACCAAGGCAACGAUGCGUAGCCGACCUGAGAGGGUGAUCGGCCACACUGGAACUGAGACACGGUCCAGACUCCUACGGGAGGCAGCAGUAGGGAAUCUUCCGCAAAGGGCGAAAGCCUGACGGAGCAACGCCGCGUGAGUGAUGAAGGUCUUCGGAUCGUAAAACUCUGUUAUUAGGGAAGAACAAAUGUGUAAGUAACUAUGCACGUCUUGACGGUACCUAAUCAGAAAGCCACGGCUAACUACGUG